rnacentral:rRNA from 1 species
UUUAAAUGUAAAAAAUAAAAAUUAGAGUAGUAUUAGAUAUGUUCUUAAAACUUAAAAAAUUUGGCGGUAUUUUAUUCUAUUCAGAGGAACUUGUUUUAUAAUCGAUAAUCCUCGUUAUAUCUUACUUAAAUUUGUUUAAUUUGUAUAUCGUUGUCAUAAGAAUAUCUUAAAAAAGUAAUAAUAUUCUAAUAUAGAAAUUAUUUAUUAUGUCAGAUCAAGGUGCAGUGUAUAUUUAAGUAAAAAUGAGUUACAAUUAAAUUAUUAAUUUAUGGAAUUAAAGAUGGAAUAUUUUUAUGAAGGUGGAUUUGAAAGUAAAUUUAAAAAUAAAAUUAAAUUGAUUAUAGUUUUAAAAUGUGC